CAAAAUUUGAGAAAGGCUCGACCAACGUGAACCUGGAAUUAAAUGCAAGCAAAUGCAAAGUGUUAAGAGUCACCCGUAAGCACAACAAAAUCAUCUACCCGUAUACGCUGCAUGACACCAUUCUAGGAAGCACGGACAGUGAGCGUGAUCUUGGGAUAUUAACUUCAUCUAGCCUGACUUGGUCUAAACAUGUCGAGUACCAGUGCGCCAAAGCCUCCAAGACCCCAGGAUACAUUCGUAGAUCAACGUUCGACAUCAAAGACAUCGCAGUUCGCCGCACUCUAUACUUGACUCUCGUUCGUACGCAGCUAUGCUAUGGUUCACAAAUCUGGGCACCACAAACCAUCAAUCUAAUCCAACGCACAGAAAGACUUCAACGACGCGCGACUAAGUACGUCUUGGAUCUACCCUUCCGUUGUGAAACUACAUACAACCAGAGACUUUCACGUUUAGGGCUUAUUCCAUUGAGCUACUGGCAUGAAUUUCUGGACAUGGUUGUGUUCUACAAACUAAUUCGUGGACUCAUGAGAAUUGACGAACAUUUCCUGCCUCAACCAACAAGUGUCAACAGCCAAAGGGAAACAAGAUCAUCCGAUCCUGACCAUUUGUCAUUCACGACAACACGAUGCAAGACAACCACAUUCCAAAAGUCCUAUUUAAAUAGAUGUACCAGAAUGUGGAAUGUACUGCCAAAGAACUUGACAGGCAAUAACACCAGCCUUAGUCAGUUAAAAAAUGGACUUUUUAUGUACUAUAAAGUAGCAUUACAAACUGUCUACGACGUGGAUGAUCCAAGAACAUGGAAAUCAAUAUGUUUGUCCUGUAACAAGUCCCGUAAUCUGUCCUGUGAAGUAGCGUGUUGUUAUUAGACAAUAGUUUAAUGUUUGUGAUGUCGUAUCUUAUAUGUAAGGGCCGCUGUAAUUGGCGUAAGCUGUAGCGUGUUCCCUGCCAUUGUCCAUAUAUGUUUUUUCUGUGUUUUAAUGUUUAUUGG